AAAUAAUCAAAAAAAUUCUCCUCAUUCAAAUGCCCCAAAUACCAAAUCCUUCAUUCAAAUCCCCAAAUCCCCAAAUCCAUUCUCGUCCUCCUCGUCAAAAUCAUCGUCACUAUCUCUCCUCUGAUUCUCCCUAUAGUCCUCCUUCAGUAUCUUCGACCAGUCCGGAAUAUGACGGUCCGGUCGGAUAGGUUGGAUCAGAGGCCGGAGCAGAGGAGGCGGUCAUCGGAGCUGAUGAUCUCGAAGAGUCAUAGUGGCGAAGAAACGACGGAUUACGGUACCGGAAGGCUGGGUCCGGAUCCGAAAAUGGUGCCGAAACAGGUCCGGC
rnacentral:lncRNA from 1 species